UGAGGAGGAGCCAUUGAAACAACACAAAUCACAGUACACGGAAAUGGAGAGGUUCCCUUUUUUGGAUGUCAGUGUGACUCUGUCCGCAAGAGAAGAGCUCACUGGAGGAAAAGACCAAACAGAAAAACUUCAUGUCGUGAGCCUGUUAAGCACCACUAAAAGAAACUUUGAAGGUUCGGAAAUCACACACACCUGUUGACAUUUUCCCAUAGCCUGUCGGCGUUUGGGGGUGGAAAUCCUUACCAAGGACGAUGGCUGUGCUGCAAGCGAUGGGAUCGGCUGGCUUGAGGCUCCAGCAGAGCUCCCUGGUGUCUGGGCUGGUGGAGAGGUCGUAGCAGCCUGAGCAGAGAGAUGGACAGGCUGACCUCCACGAAGCCUCUGCUCUCUCUCUGCUGCAAUCGAUUCUCUGAUGAGCUUCAACUGAUCCACUGAUGCAGACUUGGGGAACACAAGGACUGUUCUGGACACUCAAGAUGCUGCUGCUGUUGUGACUUCAGUGGCCAGUGCUGAGGCCUCCACAACAGCUUUAAGUGAUUUAAUAAAGUAAUCCACAAACAGUUCAAACAGGAUCCUGUGUUCUACUUAAUUAGUUGUUUGAUCUGUUGUUAAGCUGUUGUUGUUGCAGAUGGAAAGAGACUGCAAUUCUACUGUAAUUUAUAUUGGAUGUAUGUUG